rnacentral:lncRNA from 1 species
UGGUGUGAUGGCGUGGAUCGAUCAGAGCAAAGGGGGGAGAAGACAAACCCUAACUUCAUGAAAUUCUCAAGAAUUGAAAGAGAUUAGGAGCCCAAACUAAUGCAUGAACUCGAAACCUCAAUCAUCUAAGCUUGUACAACAAGCGGAACGUGUCAAGGAGAGGUCAAGCAUAGGAGGAUAACGGGUCAAGAUAAGGCAAGAUGACAAAUACACUUAUUGGAGUACUCGAGGUAUGGGGUCGUUGGCUUCAUGAAGAAAUGGAGCUGGAUUUGGAUAAGAGUAUUUAAGAAAGCGCUUGGACAAUUCCACGACUACUUUAUAGAAUGCUCUACGAAAUUUUAUUAUAUAGUUUAAUGUUGAAUGGUAUGUUGAUAACUAAUGGUUUGGUUGUACGUGGUGUCCACAGGUAUCGCUUGGGUUUUCUCUACUUUUAUUGAAGUGAAGCGGACUUAGUUCGAGUUGAGAGCAAGGAUUGUACGGGGUAGAAUGGUCACAUAGUGUAACUCAUAUAGGUUUUGAAGUAUUAAUGUUAUAAAACGUUAUAAAUCCGUUUUAAUGAAUAUAUGGCAUUUCGCAUUUGAACUUUCAUGUGUUUGAUAUGUCUAUUAAAGAACGAAAUUUUUGGGCUCUUGUUUUCCGCUGCGUCGUAUUUUAAGUUAUUACGCGUUAGUCUUACAGGGAAUUGUUCUUAUUACGAACGGGUCAUGCCCGAAUUUUGUUAAAUAAUAGUAUGAUAAUAUUACAUUUUGGAAUGUGUAAUUUGGGCGUAACAAGUUGGUAUCAGAGCCCUGGUUUGAGAGAAUUAAGUACGAGAGUAUAAGUACUUGAACUCAAACCUGUGUGCUCUUGUGAUAAGGAACCCGUACAAUCCAUGACUCGAUCAAGAUCUAAAGGUAGAAAUGGAACGAAAAUGUGUAAGUAUGUAUUAGAUUAUGUAUUUGAAAGAAACUAAUAGUGUGUUAUGUGCAAGGUAAGCUUAAGAUCUUGAAGAGGAUGAUCCGUGAAUACAGAAUGGGAUGAACGCUAAGGCGGGCAAAGGUGCAAAUAGGCAAAUUAACCCCAGGAACGUGUCAAGGAGAGGUCAAGCAUAGGAGGAUAACGGGUCAAGAUAAGGCAAGAUGACAAAUACACUUAUUGGAGUACUCGAGGUAAGUGAAUUUCGAUUCACUUUUUAGUAGGUUUAAUAGAUUUUAAUACUUAUGUUUACGAAACAUCAUGAAAGAACAUGUAAUAAUCAGAAGUACAAAGCCAAUAAUGCCUCAUUAUUGAAGAAGGUUGUAUUUAAGCCGAAAGUAAAUUGGUGGGUUUAAACGGGUCGAAUUUUAUGUGCAUAUGUUGCGUAAUGAAAUGAAAUUCGUUAUGGUUAAGACCUUGGGUAAGAAUUUUAGUCAUUAUGUAAGGGGAACAUUUCCCGGACCAUUAGGUACAAGUUUUAUAUGAUUCGGUUGUCGGUCAAUGAAUGAACGGAUUGUUUCGUUUUAGUGUAGGAAAUUUUAUAAGUAUAUGUGUAUAGGAAUCCAAAGGCCACGUGGGUUGAAUCGUAGAUUGUCUAUACUAUGUAAAGUAUUGAAUGUGACAUUCCGGCAUAAACCUACAUGUAAAAGAAGCUUGUGUAUAUAUUCGUGAUUAAUUGAUUGUGCGAAGGAAGGAACAUUGGCAUGAAUGAAGGUACGCACAUAUAUAUAUAAGUAUAUAUAUAUAUAUAUGUAUGUAUGUAUGUAUGAUAAUAAGUACGUAGGUGUGAAUGUAUGUGUGAAUGAAUGUUCAAUGCUUAAGACAUAUGCAUGAACGUAUCAAAGGGUUCGAGUAUUUAUGGAUACUAAUGAUGUGCGUUGAGUUGGAAUGUAAUGUAGGUAUGGGGUCGUUGGCUUCAUGAAGAAAUGGAGCUGGAUUUGGAUAAGAGUAUUUAAGAAAGCGCUUGGACAAUUCCACGACUACUUUAUAGAAUGCUCUACGAAAUUUUAUUAUAUAGUUUAAUGUUGAAUGGUAUGUUGAUAACUAAUGGUUUGGUUGUACGUGGUGUCCACAGGUAUCGCUUGGGUUUUCUCUACUUUUAUUGAAGUGAAGCGGACUUAGUUCGAGUUGAGAGCAAGGAUUGUACGGGGUAGAAUGGUCACAUAGUGUAACUCAUAUAGGUUUUGAAGUAUUAAUGUUAUAAAACGUUAUAAAUCCGUUUUAAUGAAUAUAUGGCAUUUCGCAUUU